GGACCUCUACCAAGAAAAUCAGACAAUUGCCUAAUAUGCUACCCAAUUUGUCCAACUAUCUAGGUUUUCUCCUCUAAUGGUCACCCUUGAAAGUUGUAAAGGUAGGAAGUUUCUGAAAGGUCUUCGUGUUGAUAUUUAUGAUCGAGUUACGAUGCUGAGGCCCAAUUUGUAUGUAGAGGUGUUAAAACAUGCCUAGUCGACCGAAUACCUCAUCUCGGCCAGGCAC
rnacentral:lncRNA from 1 species